rnacentral:rRNA from 1 species
UACGUAGGGUCCGAGCGUUGUCCGGAAUUACUGGGCGUAAAGAGCUCGUAGGUGGUUUGUCGCGUUGUUCGUGAAAACUCACAGCUCAACUGUGGGCGUGCGGGCGAUACGGGCAGACUAGAGUACUGCAGGGGAGACUGGAAUUCCUGGUGUAGCGGUGGAAUGCGCAGAUAUCAGGAGGAACACCGGUGGCGAAGGCGGGUCUCUGGGCAGUAGCUGACACUGAGGCGCGACAGCGUGGGGAGCAAACAGG